GACGAACCGUGCGAACGUUGUUCGGAAUCACUGGGCUUAAAGGGCGCGUAGGCGGCUCAUCAAGUCCGGGGUGAAAGCCCCCAGCUCAACUGGGGAAGUGCCUCGGAUACUGGUGAGCUCGAGGGAGGUAGGGGCGGAUGGAACUUCCGGUGGAGCGGUGGAAUGCGCAGAUAUCAGGAAGAACACCCGUGGCGAAGGCGGUUCUCUGGGACGGUACUGACGCUGAGACGCGAAAGCGUGGGGAGCGAACAGG
rnacentral:rRNA from 1 species